rnacentral:siRNA from 1 species
GACAAAGGUAAAAUGGAUAAUUA